rnacentral:hammerhead_ribozyme from 1 species
AUCCAGCUGACAAGUUUCAAAUAGGACGAAACGCGCGUCCUGGGU